rnacentral:rRNA from 1 species
GUGGGGAAUCUUCCGCAAUGGACGAAAGUCUGACGGAGCAACGCCGCGUGAGUGAAGAAGGUUUUCGGAUCGUAAAGCUCUUUCGUUAGGGACGAACGUGCUCUUUGUGAAUAAUGAGGAGUAAUGACGGUACCUAAAUAAGAAGCCACGGCUAACUACGUGCCAGCAGCCGCGGUAAUACGUAGGUGGCAAGCGUUGUCCGGAAUUAUCGGGCGUAAAGCGCGCGCAGGCGGGAUAUCAAGUCUGUCUUAAAAGUGCGAGGCUCAACCUCGUGAGGGGACAGAAACUGGUAUUCUUGAGUGUCGGAGAGGAAAGUGGAAUUCCAAGUGUAGCGGUGAAAUGCGUAGAGAUUUGGAAGAACACCAGUGGCGAAGGCGACUUUCUGGACGAUGUCUGACGCUGAGGCGCGAAAGCUAGGGGAGCGAACGGGAUUAGAAACCCGUGUAGUCC